GGCAACGUCGAUACUUUCCGCCGAGUUGUUAAAGGUCCAGCGAAACUGCACUUCGGAAGGAUUUGCAUCGACCUUGCACAUUAUAUUGGCCUUCUCCUGCUUUGCCACACCGUGGAUCCUGGUCUGAUUUGAUUUGCAAAAGUAAUGGCCUCGAGCGAUUUGCAAAUGCUCCGUUGGGUUAUAAUGAAAUUAGAAAAAAGACGACGGCUCUGGGAAAAGCGCUUACGCACUCUCAGCGUCGAAGAAAUUUCAAGGCGACUCUACUCAUAGUAAUUGAUCAUACCUGCUGUCGCCAUUCUACUUUGUAAACGGGUGGUUCGGCUCGUAUUAGGCAAUCGAAGUAAACAUCUGCCCCCU